rnacentral:rRNA from 1 species
UACAGAGGUCUCAAGCGUUGUUCGGAUUCACUGGGCGUAAAGGGCGCGUAGGCGGCCAUUCAAGUCGGAGGUGAAAGCCCAGGGCUCAACCCUGGAAUUGCCUUCGAUACUGUUUGGCUAGAGACCGGAAGAGGUAAGUGGAACUGCGAGUGUAGAGGUGAAAUUCGUAGAUAUUCGCAAGAACACCAGUGGCGAAGGCGGCUUACUGGUCCGGUUCUGACGCUGAGGCGCGAAAGCGUGGGGAGCAAACAGG